rnacentral:rRNA from 1 species
CCAUCGUUGAUUGACGGCUGAUGAACAUAUCAAAUUUUGGCUCUGCCUAACAAACUUAAUCAUAAAGUUUGACCUCAAAUCAGGUAGGAUUACCCGCUGAACUUAAGCAUAUCAAUAAGCGGAGGAAAAGAAACCAACAGGGAUUGCCUUAGUAGUGGCGAAUGAAGCGGCAAGAGCUCAAAUUUGAAAACUGGCAUCUUCGAUGUCCGUGUUGUAAUUUGAAGAAGAUAUUCUUGGGUUAGGUCCUUGUCUAUGUUCCUUGGAACAGGACGUCACAGAGGGUGAGAAUCCCGUGCGAUGAGGUCCCCUUUCCUAUGUAAGAUGUCUUCGAAGAGUCGAGUUGUUUGGGAAUGCAGCUCUAAGUGGGUGGUAAAUUCCAUCUAAAGCUAAAUAUUGGCGAGAGACCGAUAGCGAACAAGUACUGUGAAGGAAAGAUGAAAAGAACUUUGAAAAGAGAGUGAAAAAGUACGUGAAAUUGUUGAAAGGGAAGGGUAUUCGAUCAGACUGGUAUUUAGUUAUCAUUACUCCUUGUGGGUGGUGCUCUAACUUUUUACUGGGCCAGCAUCGGUUUUGAUGGUAAGAUAAUCGUAGUUGAAUGUGGCUCUUCGGAGUGUUAUAGCUUCUGCUGAUAUUACCUAUCGGGACCGAGGUCUGCGGCUUUGCCUAGGAUGCUGGCGUAAUGAUCCAAUACCGCCCGUCUUGAAACAUGGACCAAGGAGUCUAACGUCUAUGCG